rnacentral:rRNA from 1 species
UACGGGGGGAGCAAGCGUUGUUCGGAUUUACCGGGCGUAAAGGGCGCGUAGGCGGCCAGCACAAGUCAGUUGUGAAAUCUCCGAGCUUAACUCGGAACGGUCAACUGAUACUGUGCGGCUAGAGUGCGGAAGGGGCAACUGGAAUUCUUGGUGUAGCGGUGAAAUGCGUAGAUAUCAAGAGGAACACCUGCGGCGAAGGCGGGUUGCUGGGCCGACACUGACGCUGAGGCGCGAAAGCCAGGGGAGCGAACGGG